GAUGAACGCUAGCUACAGGCUUAACACAUGCAAGUCGAGGGGAAACGACAUUGAAGCUUGCUUCGAUGGGCGUCGACCGGCGCACGGGUGAGUAACGCGUAUCCAACCUGCCUCUGACUAAGGGAUAACCCGGCGAAAGUCGGACUAAUACCUUAUGAGGUUUUCUGCAGACAUCUAAUGAAAACGAAAGAUUUAUCGGUAAUGGAUGGGGAUGCGUCUGAUUAGCUUGUUGGUGGGGUAACGGCCCACCAAGGCAACGAUCAGUAGGGGUUCUGAGAGGAAGGUCCCCCACAUUGGAACUGAGACACGGUCCAAACUCCUACGGGAGGCAGCAGUGAGGAAUAUUGGUCAAUGGACGGAAGUCUGAACCAGCCAAGUAGCGUGCAGGAUGACGGCCCUAUGGGUUGUAAACUGCUUUUGUAUGGGGAUAAAGUUAGGGACGUGUCCCUAUUUGCAGGUACCAUACGAAUAAGGACCGGCUAAUUCCGUGCCAGCAGCCGCGGUAAUACGGAAGGUCCAGGCGUUAUCCGGAUUUAUUGGGUUUAAAGGGAGCGUAGGCUGGAGAUUAAGUGUGUUGUGAAAUGUAGACGCUCAACGUCUGAAUUGCAGCGCAUACUGGUUUCCUUGAGUACGCACAACGUUGGCGGAAUUCGUCGUGUAGCGGUGAAAUGCUUAGAUAUGACGAAGAACUCCGAUUGCGAAGGCAGCUGACGGGAGCGCAACUGACGCUUAAGCUCGAAGGUGCGGGUAUCAAACAGG
rnacentral:rRNA from 1 species